AGUUUAUUUAUCUCCCUCCGAUGUGUCUGUCUGCUUUUGCUUGUCAUUGGGAGGUGUUGCAUACUUGGUCUGAGUGAAGAUGGCUGAGGGCUCCAAAGAGCGGGUUGGCGUGGGCAUCACCGAUCCGGAUGAGGACUCUCCAAACAUGAUUGUCUACAGAAAGAUGGAGGACAUUGUCACAAGAAUACAAGACGAGAAAGCAGGAGGUGUCGCCAUCCGGACUGUCAAAAGCUUCCUGUCAAAGAUCCCCAGCGUGGUAUCAGGGUCGGACAUUGUUCAGUGGCUGAUGAAAAAUCUCUCUAUAGACGAUCCAGCCGAGGCCAUCCACUUGGGAAGUCUGAUUGCCGCUCACGGCUACAUUUUCCCCAUCUCGGACCACGUCCUGGCGCUCAAAGAUGACGGAACUCUUUACCGCUUUCAGUCUCCGUACUUCUGGCCUUCAAACUGCUGGGAACCUGAGAACACAGACUACGCCAUCUACCUGUGCAAGCGCACCAUGCAGAACAAGGCCAGACUGGAGCUAGCUGAUUUUGAGUCUGAGAACCUUUCCCGGCUGCAGAGGGCUUUCGCUAGAAAGUGGGAGUUCAUCUUCAUGCAGGCUGAAGCACAAGUCAAAAUUGACAGAAAGAAGGACAAGGCGGACAGGAAGGUCCUGGACAGCCAAGAGAGGGCUUUCUGGGAUGUUCAUCGACCAGUGCCAGGCUGCGUCAACACCACCGAGAUGGACAUCCGCAAAUGUCGCCGAGAAAAGAACCCACACAGGGUGAAAAAGUCAGUUUACGGGGUGACGGAAGACAGUCAGAGCCAGCCGAGUCCGGUCCACAUCAGCUCUCCGCCGGCUAGAAAGCUCACCCAGGAAGACAUUGAGAAGGAGAUCGGCUUCCUCAACAUCCAGCUAGGCCGACACUGCAUGAAGGUUUCCAAAGUGGCCGAGAGUCUGAUGGGCUACACGGAGCAGUUCACGGAGUACGACCCGUUCGUGUCGGCCAUCGAGCCCUCCAAUCCUUGGAUCAGUGACGACACCUCCUUCUGGGACUUGGAAGCCAGUCAUGACCCGACCCAGCAGCGAGUGAAGAAGUGGGGCUUCUCCUUGGAGGAAGCUCUUAAAGACCCUGCAGGAAGAGACCAGUUCUUGAAGUUCCUUGAGUCUGAGUUCAGUUCAGAGAAUUUACGAUUUUGGUUGGCAGUGCAGGAUCUGAAGCGUCAGCCACUGCAGGACGUCCCCUCGAGGGCUCAGGAAAUUUGGCAGGAGUUUCUAGCCGAAGGCGCACCGAGCUCUAUCAACUUGGACUCUCACAGCUACGAGCGCACUAGCCAAAACCUGAAAGACCCCGGGCGUUACAGCUUUGAAGACGCUCAGGAGCACAUAUUCACAUUAAUGAAAAGUGACAGCUAUGCACGCUUUUUGCGAUCCACCAUCUACCAAGACCUCCUGUUUGCCAGAAAAAAGAACACUGUGUAGUGUAAUAUGGAUCAUUGAAGCAAAUCGCUACUUGUGUUCACGCCAGCUUUUUUGUCCCUUCCUGCUUCAACACCACUCCUGCCGCUGCCUGCCCCGCACCUCCAUGUUUGUUGACUUGACCCUUCAUUAUUGCACUACCUGACAAAUUUCCCCCAUUGACUAAUAACACCCCCGCCCAUUCCAUCGACCCCUUUGCUUGACCCGUACCAUGCUCCUCCCUUAGCAACAACCCGCAGACCCUGAACAAGGUCGCCGUACAUCCUUGGAGAAGUUCACCCGCAGUGUGGGCAAGUCGUUGACGGGCAAACGUCUAUCGGGCCUGAUGCAGUCAUCCUGACACAUUCUGUUUGUGUGGGGCACAGUGAGCCCCCACCAUGAGGGGCGACCACACGGAUCAGGGCCAGUCGUCGGCACUAAAACGCGGCCGCACGACGGUGAGCCUGCCGAGGAGGACUCCGAGACCGGACGUGGUGGCGGGAAGGCAGCGCUGAAUAGAGGGACAGCAUGGCCUCUUUACACAAUGGGUUGUUGGUUGGGUAAACUGAUACAUUUAUAUUUUAUAUCAAUGUAUUCUGUCUCUGUCUAAAAGCACAUUUGGAAAAUAAAAGCUGAAAACAAUU